AGCCGGACUGAGAGGUCUACCGGCCACAUUGGGACUGAGAACGGCCCAAACUCCUACGGGAGGCAGCAGUAGGGAAUUUUCGGCAAUGGGGGAAACCCUGACCGAGCAACGCCGCGUGAACGACGAAGUACUUCGGUAUGUAAAGUUCUUUUAUAUGGGAAGAAAAAUUAAAAAUUGACGGUACCAUAUGAAUAAGCCCCGGCUAACUAUGUGCCAGCAGCCGCGGUAAUACAUAGGGGGCGAGCGUUAUCCGGAUUUACUGGGCGUAAAGGGUGCGUAGGUGGUUAUAAAAGUUUGUGGUGUAAGUGCAGUGCUUAACGCUGUGAGGCUAUGAAAACUAUAUAACUAGAGUGAGACAGAGGCAAGUGGAAUUCCAUGUGUAGCGGUAAAAUGCGUAAAUAUAUGGAGGAACACCAGUGGCGAAGGCGGCUUGCUGGGUCUAUACUGACACUGAUGCACGAAAGCGUGGGGAGCAAACAGGAUUA
rnacentral:rRNA from 1 species